GGGGGCGUAAAGGUUUCGACAGGGGAUUAAAGGAAUUGGAAGCGAGUCGAGGGACGCAGAUGGCCCGCGUUAAAAAAUCUGCAGAUUAUAUUUGCCAACUUUAAAAAUGCAGUAGCAGACAACUAUGGUUUCGGGGCUUGCCUCGCCGCCUAGUGUCAACAAUCCCCAGAGAGCAUCCUGGGUGGGGUAAACAGUAGAUAAUUCUGGUAACUGUUCGCCUAGCGACGUAAGUAAACGAGAGUGAUCCUGUUUGUAGGUGUCAGUUAAACCUUCUGAGGCUCUGGAGAUUUUGUUCUAUUUCGACCGGGGCGUAAGAUAAGAAAAUGAACUACACUCGUAGUGUCUGGUUUUGUAGAUCUUUUGGACGUCGGUUCGACUCCGACCGCCUCCACCA
rnacentral:tmRNA from 1 species